UGUUAAAUUGAAUUAUAUGAUGCAUUCUUUUUCUCAGAUGAAUCAUUUACAUAAUUUACAUUAUUUACUAUCCUGCAUAGUACUGCUUAUAACUACGUAGUGCUGCAUAGCACUACACAACACAAUACUUCUACUUCAUACAACCCUAAUUUCAAAAACAUAAAUGCAGUUAAAAUGUCUGUUAAUUUUAUUGUGUAGAAGUGUGUUAACAUUACACAUUCACUUCCAAUUGAUUACAGCUUAGUCUCAACUCCCCUCCAUUAUGCUGUACAGAUUUAUAUAUCUGGUGUUCAUCUUUUUAGGUGUCUUGUGGGUAUUAAUCCUGAGAGGGGGACAAAGGCAAAUGGCAAGAAAACAAGAAGCACCCCUCCUCAGGUUUCCAUGUGCUCCGAAAACUGAUGGACUGUUGUUAUGCCCUCGUCUGAAAAUGACGGUGUGCUCGAUGGGAGAGGUCAGAGAUGAUGUUCACGGCGUUCUUGGAAAGAAAAAAAAGGCAGACUACAGCCAACGAUUUUAGAGGCCCUGUGUACUACCCUCUCAAGCCGUUGUUUGUCCUGGCUGGUGGUGGCACUACCAUACCAUGCCAGAGCAGGAUGGAGAAGAAAAGCCCAAGGACUCAGAACAUGAAGCCAAAGAAGUAGAUGAUGACUCGGUCCAGACAUACCAAAUGGAAAAGCCCUUAAACAAAAGUAAUCAACCCUACUGGAGAUGAAUGCGAAAUUCUAAAUCAAGUUUUAACAUUAGAUUUCUAAGUUUCCAAAGGAUAGGUCAAGCAGAAGUAGUGCGAAAGGUGUCCUACUUGCUUCGGUAGGAGGGGGAACGUAUACUCUAAUAAACGUUUUAGUCUUGCACCAAAUCGUCAAGGUACUCAUGGCUGUCAGUUAGCGGUAUAACAAUAUUUUAACACAAUUUUUAAGAAAUCUUAAGUGAUGAAAUAUAUUGCUCUACGCUCUAUAGGGCUGCUCGAUUAUUGUAAAAAUCAUUAUCACGAUUAUUUUGUUCAAUAUUGAGAUCACGAUUAUUAGACGUGAUUACUCAGUGAUUUUGGAACUAUCAUCCAUAUUCAAAAUGCAUUUUUUUUUAAAAAUGUUUAAUAGAAUUUUAAAUAUAAUCCAACAGGAAAAAAUACAUGUGAAAAGAUAAUGCACACGACAACUUGAGACAAAAGGAGAGCAUUGUAAUGAAACUGAAACUGAAUGAUUAUAUUUUGAUUAUGCUAUUUUCAUAAUUGUUUAAUUUGAGUUAUUUCACAUUAGGUUUCAGAGAAUUGCUGUACUACUUUAAGAGUAUUAUUUUUAUUUAUGUGGUGAUGAUGAUGCCUCCCUUCCUUCAGAUGGAGGCUGCUGAGGCAGUUCAUCAAUACAACACACACAAACACACAAAUAACGUGGACAUAAGGCAUACCAUGCUUAACUCAUUAAUUAAAAUGUAUUAAUGAAGUGUUAUUUGGAUAAGAUCGUACCAAUGUAGUAAUGAAAUAUGUAUCUACUCAUGAUGAAGGGAAGGUAUUGCUACAACAUGUAAAGGUGAAUAUCUCUUGUAGCCUAUCACUGAGAUGUGUUUAUAGUCAGAAGUUGCAGAGCAUCUUCAAAAGUAUGGACACCCAUAGGCUCCAUGAUCUUGGCAAAUUUGAGCUGGUUUACUGAGAUGUUGUACACACUUCAAGAGUGUGCAAUAAAAUUGUAUUAAUUAACUGUCAUUGAGUCCAUUUUCUUGUCUCAACUCAACAAGUUAAGACUGCCUUACACUGAUACGAUUUGGGAAAUAUUGUCUUUUAAUGCAUCUCUUUCAAGCUUUGCUCAAAAGACUACAAUCUUUCAAUAAUCUUUCCCAAAUCUUGUCAAUGUAAGGUAGGUUUUAGUUCAUUUUGCGAUGCAGGGUGCCAGAGGUGUGGUGGUAAAAUGAGGUGGGUAAACUAUGAAUUCUCAUGGAAAGGUGGGCUAUGCCAUGUGGGAGGCUCAGAUUUUCAUAAAGGCUUUCAGAACAUGUGUGAUGAAGGUUAUUGUUCGAUGUUUAUAACAAUACCAGUGGUUACAUGAUUCAUAAAAUAUAUGAAUGUAUAUUGUUAAUGUGGAUAACACUGUGAUUUUUUAAUGUGAAAAGUUGCAAUUGGUGAAUAAACUCUUGAGAGGUAGAUAAACAAUAACAGGUGGAUAAACUAUUUCUGAAACUGGAUAAACUACGUUUACUUGCGUUUAGCUUCCACGACAUCGCUUUAAUGUUAUGAUCGGUUAUUCCGAUUAGUUUAGCUAGCUAACAAGAACACAUUUAACAUGAUGGGAAAUCAGUCCUUUAUUUUAAAUAAUCGCCUACCUCGCUAUUUAUUUUUACAUCAUCGUUACACGACGUCGUAGUAGACAUUUAUACAUGUUGAGUCGACUAACUAUCCACAUCCUCGUUGUUUACAUGGACGCUACCUCGGUGUUGAGAAAGGUAGCCUAAAAUGACAGUCGUUUUACUCCCAACAUUCGAUUUUGACGGAUUUUUCAAGUGCGCUUGCGCGGUAGCUCAUCUCGACAAGUAGCUCAGAUUGACAGAACACCCGGCUUAAGUGAUCAAGGGUCAUGCCAGGUCACAGGCAGACUAUGUUAAAGUAAUGGUGAUCAGUGGUGUUUGAUGUCCACCUGUUUUUGCUGGGUCCUUCCCUGUCCGUCACCUGGAGUAGGAGGUUCCUGGGUGUCCCUUCCCACUAACAUACGUGUAAGGCUCACCUCUCCUUAGACUUCAAGUGUGUCACUGUCUUGGUUGCGUCAUGGGGUUUCCGUUUAAGGAUCCAUUCAGGCACAUUCUAUCCAGUCAAAGGAAAGCUUCUCAACUAUUUCCACCACAAGACCAAAUGGCUUACCAAUUUACAUACCAAAAAGUGUUUUUUUUUGUUGUUGUUUUGUUUUGUUUUUUGUUCUCCCAUUUCUGUGAAUUUAUAAAUGGGUAAGGAAAUGGCUGCCUGAUAGUUGGCCAGUAUUAGACCGGGAUGAGGUGAACCCGUCUGAUUUGUUGGUGUGGGUCUGAAUGGCUUUUGGUGCUUUGGGAAUUGGAAAUGUCUCCUACCUUUUGAGCAACAGCCCCUGAAGCCAAACCUGUAACCUGUAU